UGUGAUCUGCCCGCCUCAGCCUCCCAAAGUUCUGGGAUUACAGGCGUGAGCCACUGCACCCGGCCCAUUCAACAAAUACUUUCUAAGCCCCUGUUGUAUGUCCCAGGCAUUAUGCAAGGCUCUGAGGAUGCAAGGAGUGCCCAGCCCAGUAGGGGAGAGAAUAGACAGUGAUCUAAGAAAAGGACAGGGGUUCAAGACCAGCCUGGGCAACACAGUGACCUGUGUCUACAAAAAAACAAAAACAUUAAAAUAGUCAGGUCCGGCCAGGCGUGGUGGCUCAUGCCUGUAAUCCCAGCACUUUGGGAGGCUGAAGCGGGUGGAUCACCUGAGGUCAAGAGUUCGAGACCAGCCUGGCUGAUGUGGUGAAACCCCAUCUCUACUGAAAAUACAAAAAAUUAGCUGGGCAUGGUGGCGGGUGCCCGUAGUCCCAACUACUCGGGAGGCUGAGGCAGGAGAUUGGCAUGAACCCGGGAGGCAGAGCUUGCAGUGAGCUGAGAUGGCACCACUGCACUCCAGCAUGGGAGAAAGAGCGAGACUCCAUCUCAAAAAAUAAAAAUAAAAUAAAAAAUAAUUAGCCAGGCAUGGCAGCAAGCACCUGUAAUCCUAACUAUUUAGGAGGCUGAGGCAGGAGAAUUGCUUGAGCCCAGGAGGCAGAGGUUGCAGUGAGCCCAUACUGCACCAUUGCACUCCAGCCUGGGCAACAGAGCAAGACUGUCUCAAAAAAAGGAAACAAAAUAGCGAGGUCCACGUGGUAGCACGCACUUGUAGUCCCAGCUUCUUGGGAGGCUAAGGCAGGAGGAUUACUUGAUUCCAAGACAGUUCAGGGCUACAGUGAGCCAUGAUGGCACCACUACAAUCCAGCCUGGAUGACAGAGUGAGACCCUGUCUCUUGGGGGGAAAAAAAAAUUGGUAGUAGUAUUUCUACCGAAUGCCUAUCACUGUUGCAUCAUUGUAAAGUCAACCAGUCAAAAGUCUAACCAUUGAAAAUCGGGACAGACUUAGUUGUUGAAAAGUAGGUUUCGAUUUGGGCUUUGCCAUUUACUUGUUUUCUGAGAACAUAUUUCUAAAAAUGUACACUUUAUGUCAGUUGGAAUUAAGCUGAACUGAGAUGACAUACUUUGAACACUUUGUAACUUGCUGCUGGUGGGUCAUACCUUGGCUUUAGGUACUGAGUAGGGAAAUGUCUUAAGUCCGUGUCUUGUUUAGAAAAGGGGAUUUCGGCCGGGCGUGGUGGCUCACACCUAUAAUCUCAGCACUUUGGGAGGCCGAGGCGGGCGAAUCGCAAGGUCAGGAGAUCGAAACCAUCCUGGCUAACACGGUGAAACCCCGUCUCUACUAAAAAUACAAAAAAUUAGCCAGGCAUAAGGCCAGGCGCAGUGGCUCACGCCUGUAAUCUCAGCACUUUGGGAGGCCAAGGUGGGCGGAUCACGAGGUCAGGAGAUCGAGACCAUCCUGGCUAACAGAGUGAAACCCCGUCUCUACUAAAAAUUCAAAAAAAUUAGCCGGGCGCAGUGGCGGGCACCUGUAGUCUCAGCUACUGAGGAGGCUGAGGCAGGAGAAUGGCCUGAACCCAGGAGGUGGAGCUUGCAGUGAGCCCAGAUAGUGCCACUGCACUCUGGCCUGGGCGAAAGAGCGAGACUCUGUCUCAAAAAAAAAAAAAAAAAUUAGCCGGGUGUGGUGGCAGGCACCUGUAGUCCCAGCUACUGGGGAGGCUGAGGCAGGAGAAUGGCGUCAACCUGGGAGGCAGAGCUUGCAGUGAGCCGAGAUCGCGCCAUUGCACUCUAGCCUGGGCAACAGAGCGAGACUGUCUCAAAAAAAAAAAGAAAAAGAAAAGGGUGUUUCUUGGCCGGGCGCGGUGGCUUACGCCUGUAAUCCCAGCACUUUGGAGGCCGAGGCAGGCGGAUCACGAGGUCAGGAGAUCGAGACCAUCCUGGCUAACAUGGUGAAACCCCGUCUCUACUAAAAAAUAGAAAAAAUGAGCUGGGCGUGGUGGCGGGCACCUGUAGUCUCAGCUACUCGGGAGGCUGAGGCAGGAGAAUGGCGUGAAUCCAGGAGGCAGAGCUCAUUGCAGUGAGCUAAGAUCGUGCCACUGCACUUCAGCCUGGGCGACAGAGCGAGACUCCAUCUCAAAAAAAAAAAAAAAAAAGUAAAGAGGGUUUCUUAAGAAAUAUGCGAUCACCUCAGAGCUCCUGCAUAUAUUUUGGGAGUGGGAGUGGAGUGAACAAUUUCACCAACAGUUCAGGGCCUUUCUGGCUUCUGGCCAACCUUGGGAGAGAGAAGGGGUUUCUUUCUGGACUUGAUUCCCUCAUCUGAUAGAUUCAUUCUGUUCGCCCACAGCUUUCAUUUCUUGGGCUGUGCUGAUUAUCUCCGUCUACAGCUGAAAAAUGAGGAAUCAGGGAAUGGGAGUUAGGGAGAGACUGCUAUCCCUGGUGCGACAUGGUUUCCAGGCAGAGUGCUGGAAAGGUCAGAGUGCCUCCUUUGCCAGGCAGUUCUCUGGAUUGGAGAAUGGUGCAAACUGUUACAUCCACUUGGGAGUACAGCAAUGAAAAAGAUGACACUUGCCUUUUAGAGGCUAUUAAAUGACCAAUGAUGUAGUAAGUGAUAAGGGAACAGGUAGUCUAGGAGGCAGCUGUUUUUUCCUCUUUAUUAAUAGUCAGGGAAACCAAGCUACAGUUAGAGACUUGCCCACGUUCAGACUUCGUAACACUUUUUCAAGCCAGUGGCUCCUCCCAAAUGGCCCAGGUUUCCCCACCCAUUUUCCUGACCUGCCCAGCCCUGUGGUUGCUGUCCAGGGAGCUAAGGCUCUCCCCAAACAAACUUGAAGAUCUCACAGACCUAAUAGACCUGGCCUUUCCUCUCUGCCUCUGGCUUUAUGUCUCUUUCAUCCUCCUCUGCCUUUCCCCUGCCCUUGAUCCCUUCUGCAGGUCUUGGCUGGUUUCAGGAAACAGGUCCCAUCCCAUGGACUCCCACUCUGGGGAGCCAGCGCUCCUGCCCUGUGGGACCUGUGACAUGGUUUUCCGCUCCUCAGCUCUGUUGGCCACCCACACUCAGCGCUUCUGCAUUGGCCACCCGACCCAAGAGAUGACAUUUGGAGCACAGGCGUCAGUUGCCACUGAACCCCAGCGGGCCGCGGUUGUGCCACAAGAACUCCAGGGCGUGCCACAAGAACCCCAGGGCCUCCCAGACCAGCAGGCCAGUAAAUCUGCUCUAAAGAGGUUAACAGAGGAGGUGCAGUGGCUGCGGCUAUCCCUACAGGAAAUGCGGCCCUGGAUAACAGAGGUCCCCAGGGUGUUCGCGGGGCCCUGGACGCGUUCCGAGGCGCGGCCUCAGAGUCCCAUGUCGGAGGCGGUGGGAAGCCCCAGCGAGCGGCUGCGGGCGCUGUUCAGGACUCGCGCGAGGCGCGUGGCGGAGAUGGAAGCGCAGAGCCGGGCCCUGCAGCGACGCGGCGAGGAACUGAGCCGGCGCCUCCAAGUUGUGGCCUGUACACGGGGCGGGAUGUCCCGCCUCUUCGGCCUGGAGCAGGAGAUUCGAGAACUACAAGCUGAGGCCGGGAGGACGCGGGGAGCUCUAGAGGUGUUGGGGGCCCGCAUUCAGGAGCUGCAGGCGGAGCCAGGGAACCCGCUGAGCUCCCGGCGAGAGGCAGAACUUUAUUCUCCAGUGCUAAAGGCCAACCCGGGAACUCUGGCUGCCGAAAUCCGGGCCCUGCGGGAGGCCUACAUUCGAGACGGGGGCCGGGACCCCGGCGUGCUGGGCCAGAUAUGGCAGUUGCAGUUGGAGGCGUCUGCACUGGAGCUGCAGCGGUCGCAGACCCGCAGAGGAAGGGCAGGUGCCACCUCAGGGGAGCUCCCAGUAGUGGAGGCUGAAAACCGGCGCCUGGAGGCAGAAAUCUUGGCCUUGCAAAUGCAGAGGGGUCGGGCACCCUUGGGGCCCCAGGAUCUGCGACUCCUGGGGGAUGCCAGCCUACAACCAAAGGGGAGGCGAGAUCCCCCACUCCUCCCGCCGCCGGUGGCACCACCGCUGCCACCACUUCCAGGCUUCUCGGAGGUUCAGUUCUUGGGUGGGGGAAAGGCUGUGAGGACACGGGGUGGGUUGGGGGAACAGGUUGGAGGCAGCUCUGCUCUGAGCAGUUGGGGGAACAUGAGCAGCUACAAGGCUUUCUGGAGGAGUCAGCUCUCUUCCCCACAGCCACAGCUUCCUGGAACAAUGACCAGAAACCUGGGCCUGGACCCACACUUCCUCCUGCCCACAUCGGACGUGCUGGGCCCUGCACCCUAUGAUCCUGGGGCUGGCCUGGUCAUUUUCUAUGAUUUCCUGCGGGGCCUUGAGGCUUCCUGGAUUUGGGUGCAACUAAGGACUGGCUUGGCACGCAAUGGACAGGAUACAGGAAGGACCACAGCGUUGCCCCCAGCCCUUUGCCUGCCCCCACCUCCUGCUCCUGGGCCCAUGGGCAACUGUGCCAUCCUUGCCAGCAGGCAGCCUGUGCCCAGACUACUACCCUCACCAUCAGUAUCUUUGGUCUGUGAGCUGCAGGUAUGGCAGGGGCUGGCAUGGGCUAGGGCAGCACAGCCAAAGGCUUGGGUCUCACUUGGACUAUUUGACCAAGAUCAGCGGGUGCUAAGUGGCCGCUGGCGCCUCCCACUUCGGGCCCUUCCUCUGGACCCCAGCCUUAGCCUUGGGCAGCUGAAUGGGAUUCCUCAGGCAGGUCAGGCUGAGCUCUUUCUGCGGCUGGUGAAUGCAAGAGAUGCAGCUGUCCAGACACUGGCAGAGAUCAAUCCAGCAAAUGUCCAUGAGUACCAGCACCCACCUCCGGUGUCCAGCACAUCUUCACUGGAAGCCAACUUCCUCACCCCCGCAGUUGGCUUUGCUGAUCCCCCACCUCGUACAGAAGAGCCCCUCAGUGGAGUCAAGGAUAGAUAUGAGGGUCUGGGCCCUCACCACAGUUCUGACUUGCCCCAGUGAGUAACGGAACCCAAGUGAAUGUGGAGAUGAACAUCUGAACAUGCACAGGACUGGGGCCUAUUUCCAGACCUACAGCUUUACUACUCCAUGUUCUGACAUUGGGUCUAGAAGCAACUAGCAGUUGAGUACAGAAAAUGAGUUCCAACCACAGCUUUACCACCUCCCAUCUUCUACUUAUGAACAAUUACAUAAACCCAAGGUCACAGCAGCAGUACUCACAAUAAAAAGCAAGGAAAUUCUGACACACCACAACAUGGAUGAACGUUAAGAACGCUAUGCUAAGUGAAAUAAGCCAGUCACGAAAAGGUAAAUAUUCUAUUAUUCCAUUUAUAUGAGGUAUCUAAAGUAGCCAAAUUCAGAGACAGAAAGCAGAAUGGUGGUUGCCAGGGGCUAGGGAAGACAGAGGGAGUUGUUUAGUGGGUAAUAGUUUCAGAUUUGCAAGAUAAGAUUGGGUAUACAACAAUGUGAAUUUACUUAACACUACUGACUUACACACUUAAAAAUAUGGAAAAUUUUAUAUUAUGUGUGUUUUACCACAACUUAAAAAUCAAUUUCAUCAGAACAGUCAAAGUAUUAGGAUACUGUCAGUCUCACAACAACAGCUGAUAUAUAACUUAUCCAAAAUUUUUAUUUUUCAUGUGAAAGCUCACAUUCUAUCACUAGCACCCAAUACUGUCAGUUAUUUCCCUUAAAGUGACAGGCUCACUGUAUUCAUUUUGGAGAAAACAUCUGCUAAGUAUCAAGUCUAAAUAAGUUUGUCUGUUGGUCAUUCUUUCAAAAAUAAAACUUUCGAAUAAAACAUUCUUUCAAAUAAAAGCCAGUAAAGUUACAUGAAAAAAGUAGCUCAAUCAACUCUUAAUUAAAAUCACACAACGGCUUUUCAUAAAGAAAACCACUGUACCUACUUUUGAUAUGCUGAAGCGCUCCAUCCAUAAUUCCUAUUUUGCCAGGUUACCUUAAAACCAUGUAGUCAAGGACUGAGAAUUAAUAAACUUAAGUUUGUAAUGCUUCAUCAUGGACAUUUUCUAAGUGAAGGUGAUAGUGAAGAACACAAGAAUUGCUAGUACUAUUUGUUGCCACUGCCUUGAUUUAUGUUAAGGUAACAGCAGGUUUAUCCACCAUUACUUUUGCACGAUCACUGCCAGUGGUCAAAAAGGCAGUCUUGUUAGUACAAAAACAGUUUUGAUCUUACAUUAUCCCUGAAAGAGUACUGGAGACCCCAAAGGUAUACAACAAAAAAACUUUGAGAACUGCUGAAUAAGAGCAUGAACAGGCAUUCAAAAGGAGAGAAUAUAUGGGUAAAGAUUUAUGGCACAGUGUUAAGAAAUUUCUCUUCGUAUUGUUUAUUCAGUGAACAAACAAAAAUCCAGAACCAAACAUAAAACAAACGAAAAUCAUCAGGUAAAAGCAAGAUGAGGGGUAUGGUGUUGAAUGUUUAAGAAUAUAUAAAGAAAAAGUUGAUCAGCUGGGUGCAGUGGCUCAUGCCUGUAAUUGCAACAACACAGGAGGCUGAAGAGGGAGCAUCAUAGGGAGGCCAGGAGUUCAAGACCUGCCUGAGCAACAUUAAUAAGACCCUGUCUCUAAAACACACACACACACAAAACUUAGUCUGGGAGGCUGAGGCAGGAGUAUCUCUUGAGCCCAGGAGUUUCAGGCUGCACCAAGCCAGGAUCAGGACCCACUGUACUCCAGCCUGAGUGGCUGAGCAAUACCCUGACUCAAAGGGGGAAAAUAAGAAGGAAAGAUUAAGCAAUUCCGCAGAAUGGGAAAACAACUUGACCGGAGAAAUGCAGUAUAACUGCCAAUCAAAACUAAAAACCCACUUCAGGUCAGAGGUUAUAAAUUUAAGGUGAGACUAAUAAUGUGUUUUCCAACCAUCCUUCAUGUUUCUCUCAGAAUCAGAAUAUUCUGGUCCUCUAAAAAUCAAACGCUUAUGCCAAGCAUAGUGGCUCACACCUGUAAUCCAGCACUUCAGGUGGCUGAGGUGAGAAGAUGGCUUGAGCCCCAACCUGGGCAACAUGACGAAACCUCAUCUCUAAAAACAAAAUACAAAAAUUAGCCAGGCAUGGUGGCACCCAUCUGUGGUCCUAGCUACCCAGGAGGCUAAAGCAGGAGGAUCACCUGAGCCCAGGGAAGGUCAAGGCUGCAGUGAGCCACGAUUGCACCACUGUACUCCAACCUGGACGAUGGAGUUUAAUACUGAUGAUUACAUAUCAAGCACUGUGUUUUGGGUAGCCUAGCUACAUUUAGUCAGUCCAGAAACUUAAAUACUAUGGUACAUCCUAUGAGUAACCCCCUUGAAAGUAUUGUGUUUAGGAUCAAUCCUAAACAGUAUUCAGUAUUCAUACCACCCAAAUACCAGAUUAACUCAUAAGAUAUUUUGUUUUGUUUUUUUGAGAGUUUCGCUCAUCACCCAGGCUGGAGUGCAGUAGUGUGAUCUUGGCUGACUGCAACUUCCACCUCCCGGGUUCAAGUGAUUCUUCUGCCUCAGCCUCCCAAGUAGCUGGAAUUACAGGUGCUCGCCACCACGACCGACUAAUUUUUGUAUCUUUUUUAGUAGAGAUGGGGUUUCACCAUGUUGGCCAGGCUGAUCUUGAACUCCUGACCUCAGGUGAUUCACCCACCUCAGCCUCCCAAAGUGCUGGGAUUACAGGUGUGAGCCACUGCGCCUAGCCCUUUUUUUUUUCUUUCCUUUUUUUUUUGGAGACAGGGUCUCACUCUGUCACCCAGACUAGAGUGCAGUGGCAGGAUCAUAGCUCACCACAACUUCGACUUCCUGGGAUUCCACAAUCCUCCUACCUCAGCCUCCCCAAUAUCUGGGACCACACACAAGUGCCACAACGAACAGUUAAUUAAAAAAAAAAUUUUUUUUGUAGAGAUAGUGUCUUGCUAUGUUGCCCAGGCUGGUCUUGAACUCCUGGAGUCAUGUGAUCCUUUCAGAGAUGGAGGUCUUGCUUGGCCUCCCAAAGUGUUGGGAUUACUGGUGUAAGCUACCACACCCAGCCAAGCAGUAUUUUAUAACUUAUUUUAACCCUUUUCCCGUUUAAGAGAAAAAAAAAAAGUACAGUUCACUGCCAGCACUCAUUUAAUUUUACAUAAACAUGUUCUUUGAAGCUGAAGCAAAUCUGACUUUC